AUUGAACGCUGGCGGCAUGCUUUACACAUGCAAGUCGAACGGCAGCGCGGGCUUCGGCCUGGCGGCGAGUGGCGAACGGGUGAGUAAUGCAUCGGAACGUGCCCAGUAGUGGGGGAUAGCCCGGCGAAAGCCGGAUUAAUACCGCAUACGACCUGAGGGUGAAAGCGGGGGACCGAAGGGCCUCGCGCUCUUGGAGCGGCCGAUGUCGGAUUAGCUAGUUGGUGGGGUAAAGGCUUACCAAGGCGACGAUCCGUAGCUGGUCUGAGAGGACGACCAGCCACACUGGGACUGAGACACGGCCCAGACUCCUACGGGAGGCAGCAGUGGGGAAUUUUGGACAAUGGGGGCAACCCUGAUCCAGCCAUGCCGCGUGCGGGAAGAAGGCCUUCGGGUUGUAAACCGCUUUUGUUCGGGAAGAAAUCCUCUGGGCUAAUACCCCGGGGGGAUGACGGUACCGGAAGAAUAAGCACCGGCUAACUACGU
rnacentral:rRNA from 1 species